CUACGGGCCGCUGCAGGCGCGAAACCUCUUCAAUGCACGACAGUGUGAAAGGGGGAUCCUACGUGCUCAUGUUAUGCAUGGGCUUUUGUAAAGCGUAAAUAACUUUACGAAUAAGGGGUGGGAAAGACCGGUGCCAGCAGCCGCGGUAACACCGGCGCCUCGAGUGGCAAUCGUUAUUAUUGGGCCUAAAGCAUCCGUAGCCGGAUGAGUAAAUUUUCUGUGAAAUCUCUCAGCUUAACUGAGAGGCGUGCAGAAAAGACUGCUUAUCUAGAGACCGGGAGGAGUUAGAGGUAUUCUGAGGGGAGCGGUAAAAUGUUAUAAUCCUCGGAAGACCACCGAUGGCGAAGGCAUCUAACUAGAACGGAUCUGACGGUGAGGGAUGAAGGCCAGGGGAGCAAAACGGAUUAGAUACCCUGGUAGUC
rnacentral:rRNA from 1 species